rnacentral:rRNA from 1 species
UCAGCCACAUUGGGACUGAGACACGGCCCAGACAUCUACGGAUGGCAGCGUUAAGAAUAUUGGACAAUGGGGGCAACCCUGAUCCAGGUAUACCGCGGUGUGAAGAAGGCCCUAGGGUUGUAAAGCACUUUAAUCAGAGAAGAAGCAUUUUAAGUUAAUACCUUAAUAUGUUGACGUUACCUGAAGAAUAA